AUGCCACCAGUCCAGUCAGCGCCAGGUCCCGCCCCACCAGUCCAGUCAGCGCAAGGUCCCGCGCCACCAGUCCAGUCAGCGUCAGGUCCUGCGCCACCAGUCCAGUCAGCACCAGUUCCAGCGGUGGUCCAGCAUGCUCCGCCCCCGGGCCAGCCUGUCCAGUGGUCAGCACCCAGUCCGGCAGCACCAGCCAAGUCGGCGGCCCCUCCUCCACUCCAGAAGUCGACGCCUCCGGUCCAGAAGUCGACGCCUCCGGUCCAGAAGUGGAAGGUUCCGGUUCAGAAGUCGAUGGUUCCGGUCCAGAGGUCGAUGGUCCAGAGUUCGACGGUCCAGAAGUCGAUGCCCCAGGACCAGAAGUCGACGGCCCCGGACAAGAAGUCGACGUCCCCGGACCAGAAGUCGACAAAGGUCGAUGCCCUUUCCAGUCCAGAGGUCGACGCUCUUUCCAGUCCAGAGGUCGACGGUCUUUCCAGUCCUGAGGUUGACGCUCUUUCCAGUCCUGAGGUCGACGCUCUUUCCAGUCCUGAGGUCGACGCUCUUUCCAGUCCUGAGGUCGACGCUCUUUCCAGUCCUGAGGUCGACGCUCUUUCCAGUCCAGAGGUCGACGCUCUUUCCAGUCCAGAGGUCGACGCUCUUUCCAGUCCAGAGGUCGAUGCUCUUUCCAGUCCAGAGUUCGACGCUCUUUCCAGUCCAGAGGUCGACACUCUUUCCAGUCCAGAGGUCGACGCUCCUUCGUGUCCAGAUGUCGACGCCCCUUUGUGUCCAGAGGUUGACGCCCCUUUGUGUCCAGAGGUCGACGUCCCCUCCUGUCCAGAGGUCGACGUCCCCUCCAGUCCAGAGGUCGACGCUCUUUCCAGUCCUGAGGUCGAUGCUCUUUCCACACCCUGUCUGUCCCCUCAUUCUGUUCAGCCUUGUGUCUCUGUUAAUUGCUCCCACCUGCCUCUCGUUUUCCAAUCACCCAAGCUCCCAGCCCUCUUGUAUUUAAACCUCUUCAGCUCUGUGUCUCGUGUUGGCUCAUUGUUCCCAUGUCCUGUAUGCGUUUGCUAUUAA
rnacentral:lncRNA from 1 species